rnacentral:rRNA from 1 species
UACGUAGGGUGCGAGCGUUGUCCGGAAUUAUUGGGCGUAAAGGGCUCGUAGGCGGUCUGUUGCGUCGGGAGUGAAAACUCAGGGCUUAACCCUGAGCCUGCUUCCGAUACGGGCAGACUAGAGGUAUGCAGGGGAGAACGGAAUUCCUGGUGUAGCGGUGAAAUGCGCAGAUAUCAGGAGGAACACCGGUGGCGAAGGCGGUUCUCUGGGCAUUACCUGACGCUGAGGAGCGAAAGCUAGGGGAGCGAACAGG